rnacentral:rRNA from 1 species
GAUGAACGCUGGCGGCGUGCCUAAUACAUGCAAGUCGAGCGAACAGACGAGGAGCUUGCUCCUCUGACGUUAGCGGCGGACGGGUGAGUAACACGUGGAUAACCUACCUAUAAGACUGGGAUAACUUCGGGAAACCGGAGCUAAUACCGGAUAAUAUAUUGAACCGCAUGGUUCAUUAGUGAACGACGGUUUUGCUGUCACUUAUAGAUGGAUCCGCGCCGCAUUAGCUAGUUGGUAAGGUAACGGCUUACCAAGGCGACGAUGCGUAGCCGACCUGAGAGGGUGAUCGGCCACACUGGAACUGAGACACGGUCCAGACUCCUACGGGAGGCAGCAGUAGGGAAUCUUCAGAAAUGGGCGAAAGCCUGACGGAGCAUCGCCGCGUGAGUGAUGAAGGUCUUCGGAUCGUAAAACUCUGUUAUUAGGGAAGAACAAAUGUGUAAGUAACUAUGCACGUCUUGACGGUACCUAAGCAGAAAGCCACGGCUAAUUACGU